rnacentral:rRNA from 1 species
UACGUAGGGGGCGAGCGUUGUCCGGAUUCAUUGGGCGUAAAGCGCGCGUAGGCGGCCUGGCAAGUCGGCCGUGAAAUCUCCGGGCUCAACUCGGAGGGGUCGGGCGAGACUGCGAGGCUCGAGGUGGGCAGAGGGCCGUGGAAUUCCGGGUGUAGUGGUGGAAUGCGUAGAGAUCCGGAGGAACACCAGUGGCGAAGGCGGCGGCCUGGGCCUGGCCUGACGCUGAGGCGCGAAAGCGUGGGGAGCGAUCCGG